rnacentral:rRNA from 1 species
GAUGAACGCUGGCGGCGUGCCUAAUACAUGCAAGUCGAGCGAACAGACGAGGAGCUUGCUCCUCUGACGUUAGCGGCGGACGGGUGAGUAACACGUGGAUAACCUACCUAUAAGACUGGGAUAACUUCGGGAAACCGGAGCUAAUACCGGAUAAUAUAUUGAACCGCAUGGUUCAAUAGUGAAAGACGGUUUUGCUGUCACUUAUAGAUGGAUCCGCGCCGCAUUAGCUAGUUGGUAAGGUAACGGCUUACCAAGGCAACGAUGCGUAGCCGACCUGAGAGGGUGUUCGGCCACACUAGAACUGAGACACGGUCCAGACUCCUACGGGAGGCAGCAGUAGGGAAUCUUCCGCAAUGGGCGAAAGCCUGACGGAGCAACGCCGCGUGAGUGAUGAAGGUCUUCGGAUCGUAAAACUCUGUUAUUAGGGAAGAACAAAUGUGUAAGUAACUAUGCACGUCUUGACGGUACCUAAUCAGAAAGCCACGGCUAACUACGUG